rnacentral:lncRNA from 1 species
AUGAUAUCUCAUUGUGGUCUUGAUUUGCAUUUCUCUAAUAAUGAGCAACAGGACUGCAAAAGGUCAGGGUUCAUUCCAAUCCCAAAGAAAGGCAAUGCCAAAGAAUGCUCAAACUACCGCACAAUUGCAGUCAUCUCACACGCUAGUAAAGAAAUGCUCAAAAUUCUCCAAGCCAGGCUUCAGCAAUACGUGAACUGUGAACUUCCAGAUGUUCAAGCUGGUUUUAGCAAAGGCAGAGGAACCAGAGAUCAAAUUGCCAACUUCUGCUGGAUCAUCGAAAAAGCAAGAGAGUUCCAGAAAAACAUGUGCUUCUGCUUUCUUGACUAUGCCAAAGCCUUUGACUGUGUGGAUCAUAAUAAACUGUGGAAAAUUCUGAAAGAGAUGGGAAUACCAGACCACCUGACCUGCCUCUUGAGAAACCUAUAUGCAGGUCGGGAAGCAACAGUUAGAACUGGACAUGGAACAAUAGACUGGUUCCAAAUAGGAAAAAGAGUACAUCAAGGCUGUAUAUUGUCACCUUGCUUAUUUAACUUCUAUGCAGAGUACAUCAUGAGAAAUGCUGGGCCGGAGGAAGCACAAACUGGAAUCAAGAUUGCUGGGAGAAAUCUCAAUAACCUCAGAUAUGCAGAUGACACCACCCUUAUGGCAGAAAGUGAAGAGGAACUAAAAAGCCUCUUGAUGAAAGUGAAAGAGGAGAGUGAAAAAGUUGGCUUAAAGCUCAACAUUCAGAAAAUGAAGAUCAUGGCAUCUGGUCCCAUCACUUCAUGGCAGAUAGAUGGGGAAACAGUGGAAACAGUGUCAGACUUUAUUUUUCUGAGUUCCAUAAUCACUGCAGAUGGUGACUGCAGCCAUGAAAUUAAAAGAUGCUUACUCCUUGGAAGAAAAGUUAUGACCAACCUAGAUAGCAUAUUCAAAAGAAGAGACAUUACUUUGUCACCAAAGGUCCAUCUAGUCAAUGCUGUGGUUUUUUCAGUAGUCAUGUAUGGAUGUGAGAGUUGGAUUGUGAAGAAGGCUGAGCACCGAAGAAUUGAUGCUUUUGAACUGUGGUGUUGGAGAAGACUCUUGAGAGUCCCUUGGACUGCAAGGAGAUCCAGCCAGUCUGUUCUAAAGGAGAUCAGUCCUGGGUGUUCUUUGGAAGGACUGAUGCUAAAGCUGAAACUCCAAUACUUUGGCCACCUCAUGUGA